rnacentral:rRNA from 1 species
AGGGUCUCGAUUGGUGAACAGCGGAGGGACAUUACCGAGUUUACAACUCCCAAACCCCUGUGAACAUACCACUUGUUGCCUCGGCGGAUCAGCCCGCUCCCGGUAAAACGGGACGGCCCGCCAGAGGACCCCUAAACUCUGUUUCUAUAUGUAACUUCUGAGUAAAACCAUAAAUAAAUCAAAACUUUCAACAACGGAUCUCUUGGUUCUGGCAUCGAUGAAGAACGCAGCAAAAUGCGAUAAGUAAUGUGAAUUGCAGAAUUCAGUGAAUCAUCGAAUCUUUGAACGCACAUUGCGCCCGCCAGUAUUCUGGCGGGCAUGCCUGUUCGAGCGUCAUUUCAACCCUCAAGCACAGCUUGGUGUUGGGACUCGCGUUAAUUCGCGUUCCUCAAAUUGAUUGGCGGUCACGUCGAGCUUCCAUAGCGUAGUAGUAAAACCCUCGUUACUGGUAAUCGUCGCGGCCACGCCGUUAAACCCCAACUUCUGAAUGUUGACCUCGGAUCAGGUAGGAAUACCCGCUGAACUUAAGCAUAUCAUAGGCGGGGGAGGAAA